UACGUAGGGAGCAAGCGUUGUCCGGAAUCAUUGGGCGUAAAGCGCGCGUAGGCGGCCCUGUAAGUCCGUUGUGAAAGUCAAAGGCUCAACCUUUGAAAGCCGAUGGAUACUGUAGGGCUAGAGUCCGGAAGAGGCGAGUGGAAUUCCUGGUGUAGGCGGUGGGAAAUGCGCAGAUAUCAGGAGGAACACCAAUAGCGAAGGCA
rnacentral:rRNA from 1 species